CUCCUCGGGACAAACCAAACUCCGUGCUGAUCAACCCGUCCUGGUCUCAUCUGGUGGGUGUCCGGCGGUGCGAGCCCGCGGUGGCGCAUUGGAGCUGCUGUUUUCCAGGUGAGAGUACUGAGAAGACACCAGGAGGCACACUUUCCCUGAGCUGGCUGCUGAAAAUAAAGCUGGUCAGCCUCAAAUGGGUCCAAUGAAAACACACGCUCUACAUGGCUUCCAUGACGAGUAAUCUGCACAGACAAAGAUAUCCAGACUUCAGAACGGUGUGAGAUCCUGAGAAGACGCCGAAGCGCGAUGUCGAGCCGGGAGCUCGUGAAUCGGGUUCAUGCGAAGACUCACUUCCAGCCUCCAUGAAGGUCUCGGGCCGAUAGGCGAAGCCGCUCUCGUGCUCCAGCGGGUUGCCACAGCUGGCGUGUUCUCCGGGCCGCUGCAGGUUAAUGACCGUCUUCAACCCGCACCUGAGCGCCGCGGCAGCACAACACACAUUACAGAGCAAUGAAGACACGUCUUCACAGUCCAAACGUUAGUAGAAGAAAGCUGAGAAAGAAGGAGACGACUGUACCUUUGAAAUUGUUCAAUUACAUGAAAUUUCUCUAUGAUUUCAGUGGAAGGCCUCGCCAUAGCUAGCAAGUUGUCAGUAAUCCUGGAAGUGGAGAAUAUGACAAGUUAGGGGGAGUUGUGUUAAUCAAAAAAAUGAUCAGGGUAAAAGACAGAUAGCAACCCAACUGUAUUGUGCAUUAUAGUUCUGAAAUUAUGUCUUUAAAUAGGCAAAUUAGACGUGAUCUAUUAACUAUUUACUAACUAGCAUGAAUAUCAGAAACAUUGGAUGAAGUCCAAACUCUUGUUUAAUUUAUUUGACAUGUUGAGGGUUUGCACAGAGACAUGUCUUUGUAUCAACCAUUUCAAAAAUAUGUUUUCAGGAACAAAAUGUAAAUCAGGAUGGGAAUGAAAUGAGUCAAAGUCUUCCGAACAUGGAGAGGAAGGACAAAUGUAAACUGACAUGUUUUAACACAACACGGGUGGAUAUGAUGAAUAAAUUACCCAGUUGAUUCCUUACAUUAUUACACUUUUUUUCUUUAAAUUUAAUGUUUCAAUAAGCUAAUAAGGCACGAUUACAUUUAGAGGAAAUCUACAGAUCAAAUUAGGAAAGUGUGCACCUGAUUAUGCAUUUUGGAUUUUUUCUGUCCGCUCGUUGUCAUGGAGCCAAAUAAACCGUCCCCUCUAAAUGAGCCGGUGCAUGAAUCGCUGUAAAUGUGUUUGCUUUCAGCGUCACCCCUGCAAACACACUCGUACAGAAGUGUGUGUCACGCGUUCAAUGUUUCCACUUGAAAAAAA